AUGGAAAGAGCUGGAACUGGGAAUGGGAAUGGGGAGAGCUGGGAAUGGGGAGAGCUGGGAAUGGGACUGGGAAUGGGGAGAGCUGGGAAUGGGAAUGGGGAGAGCUGGGAAUGGGAAUGGGGAGAGCUGGAACUGGGAAUGGGGAGAGCUGGAACUGGGAAUGGGAAUGGGGAGAGCUGGAACUGGGAAUGGGAAUGGGCAGAGCUGGGAAUGGGAAUGGGGAGAGCUGGGAAUGGGAAUGGGAAUGGGGAGAGCUGGGAAUGGGAAUGGGAAUGGGAAUGGGGAGAGCUGGGAAUGGGAAUGGGAAUAGCUGGGAAUGGGAAUGGGAAUGGGAAUAGCUGGGAAUGGGAAUGGGAAUGGGAAUGGGAAUGGGAAUGGGAAUGGGGAGAGCUGGGAAUGGAACUGGGAAUGGGGAGGGAUGGGAAUGGGGAUGGGAAUGGGGAGGGAUGGGAAUGGGAAUGGGGAGAGCUGGGAAUGGAACUGGGAAUGGGGAGAGCUGGAACUGGGAAUGGGGAGGGAUGGGAAUGGGAAUGGGGAGAGCUGGGAAUGGGAAUGGAGAGAGCUGGGAAUGGGAAUGGAGAGAGCUGGGAAUGGGACUGGGAAUGGGGAGGGAUGGGAAUGGGACUGGGGAGGGAUGGGAAUGGGAAUGGGGAUGGGGAUGGGGAGAGCUGGAGCUGGGAAUGGGAAUGGGGAGAGCUGGAACUGGGACUGGGAAUGGGGAGGGAUGGGAAUGGGAAUGGGGAGAGCUGGGAAUGGGAAUGGGGAGAGUUGGGGCUGGGAAUGGGAAUGAGAAUGGGAAUGGGGAGAGCUGGAACUGGGAAUGGGCAGAGCUGUGUUGGGGUUCCAGUCACAGCCAGGAUGGAAUUCCCAAUUCCCACCCAAAUCCAGGGAAGCAGCUGGAAAAAGCCUCGUAUUCCCCACGCCCUGGGAUUGGGCAGGACCCCAAAUCCCACCCAGCGCCCCAAACCCCUCCAGCCCAGCCCCGGGCGCUUCCCAGCAUCCAGAGGCUCCCAAUGGGAUUUUCUGUGGGAUUUUUGCUGGAAGUGUCUCCAUCCCCUCCUUCCUUCCCCUGGAGCUGCUCCAGCCUUGGGCACGAAAGAAAAAAAGACGGAAGUUGUUCCGAACACUGGGGACAAUGGCAGGAAAUUCGGGAUGGGGCUGGCACUGCGGGAAGUGCCUCAGGAAAAUCCCAAAGGAUUCGGGGCCUGGCAGCUCCCUCGGCUCCCAAAUUCCCACCCCAUCCUUUGUUUGCCCCAAGGGAACCCCAGGAUUUCCCAGCUCCCAUUCCUGCUGUUCCCAAAGCUGGAAUUCCAGGAUUUUCCAGCUGUAUUCCUGCUGUUCCCAAAGCUGGAAUUCCAGGAUUUUCCAGCUGUAUUCCUGCUUUUCCCAAAACUGGAAUUCCAGGAUUUUCCAGCUGUAUUCCUGCUUUUCCCAAAGGGAACACCGGGAUUUCCCAGCUCCCAUUCCCGCUGUUCCCAAAGCUGGAAUUCCAGGAUUUUCCAGCUGUAUUCCUGCUUUUCCCAAAGGGAACCCCAGGAUUUUCCAGCCCCAAUUCCCGCUGUUCCCAGACCCAGAACCCCAGGAUUUUACCCCAGGAUUUUUCCCUGGAUUAUCCCAUUUUUCCCUCCCAGGUACAUGGCCAUCACCCAUCUGGCCAUGUUCCUGAUGUUCCCAGACCCAGAACCCCGGGAUUUUCCAUCCCUAAUUCCCACUGUUCCCAGACCCAGAACCCCAGGAUUUUACCCCAGAAUUUUCCCCCAGGAUUAUCCCGUUUUCCCUUCCCAGGUACAUGGCCAUCAUCCAUCUGGCCAUAUUCCUGUUGUUCCCAAACCCAGAACCUCAGGAUUUUCCAGCCCCAAUUCCUGCUCUUCCCAAACCCAGAACCCUGGGAUUUUCCAUCCCAAAUUCCCGCUGUUCCCAGACACAGAACCCCAGGAUUUUCCAGCCACAAUUCCCACUGUUCCCAGACCUAGAACCCCAGGAUUUUACCCCGGAUAUUCCCAUUUUCCCUCCCAGGUACAUGGCCAUCAUCCAUCUGGCCAUGUUCCCGCUGUUCCCAGACCCAGAACCUCAGGAUUUUCCAGCCCCAAUUCCUGCUCUUCCCAAACCCAGAACCCGGGAUUUUCCAUCCCCAAUUCCCGCUGUUCCCAGACCCAGAACCCCAGGAUUUUACCCCAGGAUAUUCCCAUUUUUCCCUCCCAGGCACAUGGCCAUCAUCCAUCUGGCCAUAUUCCUGCUGUUCCCAGACCCAGAACACAGGGAUUUUCCAUCCCUAAUUCCCACUGUUCCCAAAGAUGA
rnacentral:lncRNA from 1 species